rnacentral:rRNA from 1 species
GACAGAGGGGGCAAGCGUUGCUCGGAAUUACUGGGCGUAAAGGGCGCGUAGGCGGAAUGGCAAGUCGGUCGUGAAAUCCUUCGGCUCAACCGAAGAACGUCGAUCGAAACUGCCGUUCUUGAGGAUUGCAGAGGAGACUGGAAUUCCCGGUGUAGCGGUGAAAUGCGCAGAUAUCAGGAGGAACACCGAUGGCGAAGGCAGGUCUCUGGGCUGACACUGACGCUCAUGCACGAAAGCGUGGGGAGCAAACAGG